CAAUUACUCAGUGAGUCGGGAAUGAGGAGGAAGGGAGUGCGCAUGUACAUGAGAGCUAAUAGCCAAGAGUGAGUAGAAUAAACCAGUCUGCCUCUCACCAAAAAUGUAUUAAGGCAAAAGUAUAUAAACAAUUAAAUCUCAAUUAUCGUUAACGAUUGUGUUUAAUUAGAUGAUACUUUGAUAGGGCAAUGUAGACACCACUAUUUAUAUUUAGCGCUAGAAUGAACAUGGUAGCGUGAACAGGUGGUCACUUAAUAUGGUGAUGAAGUGUGUUAUCCUCCCUUGGGAUGUUUCUCUACAGCGCCGCCAUUUGGAAUCAGCCUUCAGAGAAAACUAAUCGUCAAACCAAAGUCUCCAGAUGAUAUCGGGACUGUAUUUAAACUCUACACACGGAUCAACCCAACUGUACCAGUUGAUUUAGACGCUAGGAAGGUAGAUACUGCUACUGCUACUUGGCCUGACUUUCAAGCCAAACCUGUUAAAAUUAUCGUCCAUGGUUUCCUGCAAGCUGUCACACCAGACGACUG
rnacentral:sRNA from 1 species